CAGAUACAAGACUUUCUAUAUAGCAGAUUAUGCUUCAUCUAAUCUGUAUGUGAGGAUCUCAGACCUGAAACGAUCUGAUUCRGGACRGUACCGAUGUGGUUUCGGUAAAAACCAAUCUAAAUAUCAUGAAUUUCAUCUGGAAGUGACUGGAGYUACAACUUCAUUUUCAUCUACAACCAUCCAACAAACCACAUCAUCAUCUGAACCCAAAGGUCAAACUGAUCUGCUGCUUUAUGUGGGUCUGAGUCUACCCAUCCUGAUCAUCUUGUUAGCGACGGCUCUGCUGAUUUACUGCUGGAGGAAACGCUCCCAUCAACAG